GAUCAAGCUAAUAAGAGCAUAGGGUGAAUGCCUUGGCACCAACAGCCGACGAAGGACGUGGUAAGCUGCGAAAAGCUACGGGGAGCUGCAAACAAGCUUCGAUCCGUAGAUGUCCGAAUGGGGAAACCCGGCGGUGGUCAUGCGCCGUCACCGUAUGAUGAAUACAUAGUCAUACGGAGGGAACCCGGUGAACUGAAACAUCUAAGUAGCCGGAGGAAAAGAAAGAAACAUCGAUUUCCUAAGUAGCGGCGAGCGAAAGGGAAGGAGCCUAAACCAGGAGUCUACGGACAUCUGGGGUUAUGGACCUGCAUAAUUCGAAACACUUAUAGCCGAAGAGGUUUGGAAAGGCCUACCAAAGGGGGUAACAGUCCCGUAGGUGAAAUGAGUGUAAGAAGGCGGGUAUCCGGAGUACCACAGGACACGAGUAAUCCGGUGGGAAAUCGGGGGGCCCACCCCCCAAGGCUAAAUACUGUUGGUGACCGAUAGCGAAAUAGUACCGUGAGGGAAAGGUGAAAAGUACCCCGGGAGGGGAGUGAAAGAGAACCUGAAACCCUAUGUUUACAAGCAGAGGGAGCGCAAGCGACCUCGUACUUUUUGUAGAACGGGCCGGCGAGUUACUGUAUGUAGCGAGGUUAAGGUGUAGAGCACCGGAGCCGUAGGGAAACCGAGUUUUAACUGAGCGUAUAGUUGCAUGCAGUAGACCCGAAACCGGGUGACCUAUCCAUGGACAGGUUGAAACGACGGUAAGACGUCGCGGAGGACCGAACCACACGUAUGUUGAAAAAUGCGGGGAUGAGCUGUGGAUAGCGGAGAAAUUCCAAUCGAACUCGGAGAUAGCUGGUUCUCCCCGAAAUAGCUUUAGGGCUAGCCUCGAUAUGGAUUACCGGGGGUAGAGCACUGAAUGGGCUAGGGGGCCACAAAGCUUACCGAACCCUAUCAAACUUCGAAUACCGGAUAAUUUAUAUAUCGGGAGUCAGACAGUGGGAGAUAAGUUUCAUUGUCGAGAGGGAAACAGCCCAGACCAACGACUAAGGUCCCAAAGUACAGGUUAAGUGGGAAAGGAUGUGCAGUUGCGUAGACAACCAGGAUGUUGGCUUAGAAGCAGCCACUCAUUCAAAGAGUGCGUAAUAGCUCACUGGUCGAGUGAUUGUGCGCCGAAAAUGUACCGGGGCUAAACCUGGCACCGAAGUCUUGGAAGAUACCUAGUAUCUUGGUAGGGGAGCAACGAAUACGGGCUGAAGCGGGAGCGUGAGCGACCGUGGACUGUAUUGGAGAGAGAAUGCCGGCAUGAGUAGCGAGAGCAAAGUGAGAAUCUUUGCCGUCGAAAGCCUAAGGUUUCCUGAGGAAGGUUCGUCCUCUCAGGGUAAGUCAGGACCUAAGCCGAGGACAAAAGUCGUAGGCGAUGGACAACAGGUUGAUAUUCCUGUACCACUCUUAGCGUUUGACAGAUGCGGUGACACAGAAGGAUAGGCAGAGCGGAGCGAUGGUAGACUCCGUCCAAGCAGUGAGGCUGGUGUGUAGUGAAGUACGCACACUAUAAGGCUGGGCUGUGAUGGGGACUGAAAAUAAGUAAGGAAGCUGCUGAAUUCACGCUGGCAAGAAAAGCCGCUAUGGAGCAAAAGAGUGCCUGUACCGCAAACCGACACAGGUAGGCGAGGAGAGAAUCCUAAGACGAGCGGGAGAACCCUUGUUAAGGAACUCGGCAAAAUGACCCCGUAACUUAGGGAUAAGGGGAGCCUCGAGAGAGGCCGCAGAGAAUAGGCCCAAGCGACUGUUUAGCAAAAACACAGGUCUGUGCGAAGUAGAAAUACGAAGUAUACGGGCUGACGCCUGCCCAGUGCUGGAAGGUUAAGGGGAAGUGUUAGGAGCAAUCCGAAGCACGGAACUUAAGCCCCAGUGAACGGCGGCCGUAACUAUAACGGUCCUAAGGUAGCGAAAUUCCUUGUCGGGUAAGUUCCGACCCGCACGAAUGGCGUAACGAUUUGGGCACUGUCUCAACAAGGGACCCGGCGAAAUUGUAGUAUGCGUGAAGAUGCGCAUUACCCGCGAUAGGACGGAAAGACCCCGUAGAGCUUUACUGUAGCUUGGCAUUGGAUUUUGGUAACAUAUGUACAGGAUAGGUGGGAGGCUGAGAAAUGAGGACGCCAGUUCUCAUGGAGCCAACCUUGGGAUACCACUCUUGUGUUACUGGAGUUCUAACGUGCGGCCGUGAUCCGGCGCAUGGACAGUGCCAGGUGGGCAGUUUGACUGGGGCGGUCGCCUCCGAAAGAGUAACGGAGGCGUCCAAAGGUUCCCUCAGAAUGGUUGGAAACCAUUCGCAGAGUAUAAAGGCAGAAGGGAGCCUGACUGCGAGAGAGACAUCUCGAGCAGGGACGAAAGUCGGGCUUAGUGAUCCGGCGGUAUGAGAGUGGAAUUGCCGUCGCUCAACGGAUAAAAGCUACCUCGGGGAUAACAGGCUUAUCUCCCCCAAGAGUCCACAUCGACGGGGAGGUUUGGCACCUCGAUGUCGGCUCGUCGCAUCCUGGGGCUGGAGCAGGUCCCAAGGGUUUGGCUGUUCGCCAAUUAAAGCGGCACGCGAGCUGGGUUCAGAACGUCGUGAGACAGUUCGGUCCCUAUCCAUCGUGGGCGCAGGAGAUUUGAGAGGAGCUGUCCUUAGUACGAGAGGACCGGGAUGGACGUACCAAGGGUGCAUCAGUUGUCACGCCAGUGGCAUAGCUGGGUAGCCAAGUACGGAUUGGAUAAACGCUGAAGGCAUCUAAGCGUGAAGCCAACCUCAAGAUAAGAUCUCCCAUCCAGAAAUGGAGUAAGGCCCCUGGAAGACUACCAGGUUGAUAGGCCGGAGGUGGAAGUGCAGUAAUGUAUGCAGCUGACCGGUACUAAUAGGCCGAGGGCUUGAUCCU
rnacentral:rRNA from 1 species